rnacentral:rRNA from 1 species
GACGAACGCUGGCGGCGUGCUUAACACAUGCAAGUCGAACGGAAAGGCCCUGCUUUUGUGGGGUGCUCGAGUGGCGAACGGGUGAGUAACACGUGAGUAACCUGCCCUUGACUUUGGGAUAACUUCAGGAAACUGGGGCUAAUACCGGAUAGGAGCUCCUGCUGCAUGGUGGGGGUUGGAAAGUUUCGGCGGUUGGGGAUGGACUCGCGGCUUAUCAGCUUGUUGGUGGGGUAGUGGCUUACCAAGGCUUUGACGGGUAGCCGGCCUGAGAGGGUGACCGGCCACAUUGGGACUGAGGUGCGGCCCAGACUCCUACGGGAGGCAGCAGUGGGGAAUAUUGCACAAUGGGCGGAAGCCUGAUGCAGCAACGCCGCGUGCGGGAUGACGGCCUUCGGGUUGUAAACCGCUUUCGCCUGUGACGAAGCGUGAGUGACGGUAAUGGGUAAAGAAGCACCGGCUAACUACGU